AUCAUGGUGACUGGGCUGCAGAAAAUGUGUUCUUCACCAUUUAAAGAUACCAACCACACCACCCAGGGAUAUUUGCUGACUCUUAGAUGCCACCCACACACAUUGGACUGCUUUGAAAACUAGCAGGGAAGCGAUUGAAGGCUGUGGGCGCCCAAACCUGACUCCUACUGUUCAACUCACUAAAGGGAGGAAUCUGUAACAUGCAGUAACACAGAUAGGACAGCAGUCUGCGCCAUUACUUGACUGGCCAGCACCCAUUUGAAGUCAUCAGCCAGCACUCAGAACAGCUCAUUUCAAAUGAUAACAUUUUAAAAAUAAAAACGUAAAUAUAUGUCAGCUACUUCAAUAAAAUAAUUUCUGCAUCAGUCAUACCAUU